CCUACGGGUGACAGCAGUGGGGGAUAUUGCACAAUGGGGGAAACCCUGAUGCAGCGACGCCGCGUGUGGGAAGACGGUCCUCUGGAUUGUAAACCACUGUCCCCAGGGACGAAGAUGACGGUACCUGGGGAGGACGCUCCGGCUAACUACGUGCCAGCAGCCGCGGUAAUACGUAGGGAGCAAGCGUUGUCCGGACUUACUGGGGGAAAAGGGAGCGUAGGCGGGAUGGCAAGUUGGGUGUUAAAUCUACCGGCUCAACUGGUAGUCGCACUCAAAACUGGUAUUCUGGAGUGAUGUAGAGGCAGGCGGAAUUCCUGGUGUAGCGGUGAAAUGCGUAGAUAUUAGGAGGAACACCAGUGGCGAAGGCGGCCUGCUGGGCAUUGACUGACGCUGAGGCUCGAAAGUGUGGGGAGCAAACAGGAUUAGAUACCCCAGUAGUC
rnacentral:rRNA from 1 species